GAGGGCUCAUCAAACUUAGCUGCCCAAAAAAAAAAUUUUUUUCUAUUUUUUAAUUUUCAAUAUCGCAUAUCGUUAGUUCGUAGUUUGUUCUUAAUUGUUCGCUAAAUAAUUGUUUGUUCUUUUGUUGUUUAUUUAAAAAUUAAUUAAAAACAUACCCUUUAGUUAGCACCCGCCCCCUGUUAAUGGGGGGAAACGCCUACUAUUUGGUUCUGGCACUCGCCGGCCGCUGCCGCGGCACGCUACGCUCGGGUCGUGCAUUGUUUUAACUGUUCUAACAUAACCUAACCUAACCAAUUUUAAUGAAUUGCAUUUUUUUAAAAUAAAUAAAUCGAGAACAAACAAAUGUUUAUAGAGAACAAUCAAGAACAAAUGGCGAACUAACGAUGUCAUAAAAAAAAAUACAAAAAAAAAAUCUGGGGGGCUAACUUUCUUGAGCUUUUAAAAAGAGACUAGAGAGUUUUGCCAGGCUUCUGUGAGCGCUCAACCCACUGCACUAAAAAUUAAAAAAAUGCAGUGUGACUAUAAAACUGAAAUGAGUCCAAUUAAUGUACCGCAGGUGCAAAAACAAUUGGAACCAGAGACUGAUCCGGAGGAGAUGUGGGACGAUUAAAAGACUAUUGUUUUGUUUAAUAAUAUAUUAUGCAGUUAGUUUUAAUUCUUAAGUGAAAGGCAAAAUUACAUUUGAAUUAGGUGUAUAUACUUAAUUACUGUUAUAUUAAGAUUACUAAUCUGUGUUUAUUGGCAAACCAAAAAAUAAGUUUUGAGACAACCAACGCUAGCAAUGGUGUAACUUAGCAACUUUUAAAACUUGAAUGAUUUAUAUUCUAUUAAAUAAACAAAUUAAAUAAUAUUCUAAUUUGGGCAUCACCUACAUACUUGAAAAAUUUGAUUUUAAAUAGACCUUGUACCAAACCUUUCUGAAGAAGAAUAUAUAUGAUUUCAGAGAGCCCAAACCAAGGGCACAGGUUAAUAAAUAAGUGACAAAUUUAUUUUUAAUUAAAAAAAAAUGUUUUGUUUGCUCCUGCAACAUGUCAGGAUGCCAUUAUACUUAUCGUCUGAUUGGCGGAAUUAGUUUUAGUAGUUGUAAGUUUUAAUAAAUAUUUCAUUAUAUUAAAUAGCUUAAAUACAGUUAGACCAUAAGGUGCCAAUAUGCAAGCUACCAGUUUACCAGUAUGUAAAUUAUGUUUGAGGGAUUCCUGCCCACAAUUGUUGCCACUCUGUGCUUGAGGUAUUGUUCAGUGGUAAACCAUUCUUGUGGGCAGUAUCAUACUUUUCAAAGCAAAUAUUAUUUUAUUGAAAGACAAAAAGAAAAACAUACACAUCAAAGUAGAGUAGCAUACCAAAUUGUACAAAACAAAUAUAUUUUAUUUCUAUUAA